rnacentral:rRNA from 1 species
GACAGAGGGUGCAAGCGUUGUUCGGAAUUAUUGGGCGUAAAGCGCGCGUAGGCGGCUUGGUAAGUCGAAUGUGAAAGCCCGUGGCUCAACCACGGAAGUGCAUUCGAAACUGCUUAGCUUGAGUUUCGGAGAGGGCGGUGGAAUUCCCAGUGUAGAGGUGAAAUUCGUAGAUAUUGGGAGGAACACCAGUGGCGAAGGCGACCGCCUGGACGAUGACUGACGCUGAGGCGCGAGAGCGUGGGGAGCAAACAGG